GCCAUUGCGGUAAUGCCGCUUUAAGCGACUCAUAAUCGCUUGGUCGCUGGUUCAAGUCCAGCAGGGGCCACCA
rnacentral:tRNA from 1 species